UACGAAGGGUGCAAACGUUGCUCGGAAUUAUUGGGCGUAAAGAGCGUGUAGGCGGCCCGGAAGGUCAGCUGUGAAAACUCGAGGCUCAACCUCGAGACGUCGGUUGAAACCACCAGGCUAGAGUCCGGAAGAGGAGUGUGGAAUUCCCGGUGUAGCGGUGAAAUGCGCAGAUAUCGGGAAGAACACCCGUGGCGAAGGCGGCUCUCUGGAACGCAACUGACGCUGAGACGCGAAAGCGUGGGGAGCAAACAGG
rnacentral:rRNA from 1 species